AGGAAGGAUAUUUUAUAUACUCUCGUAACCCUAACUACCACUACAGCCGCCCCCUCCCCCCUUAUUUUCUUUCUGAUCUAUAUUCUCUCUCCUCCUCCGUUCUCUUCUUUCUCCCCUCUUUCACUCUUAGCUUCCUUUAUUUGUUCCUCUCGAAUAUCUCCCUUCUUCACUCUCUUCUUUCCCUCAACCUCUUAGCAAUUCUCUCUUCCACGAGCACACAACGCGCCAUUAGCUAUUAUCAUCAACAAUCGAGCUUCACCAUCAACCAUAGCAGCCGUUAACAACUGUGCACACACCGUGAAACUAUCGAGCAUCCACACCGCAAACCUCCUUCAACAUCGGGAGCUUGAAUCUCGCAGCAGGCCAGGAUAUCCAAAUUUGAGGAUUCAAUAGAGAUGAGAAGAGGUGGCUAGAAAGUAUCCCAAUUCUAUGCAUUUCUUAACAUAUCAGCAUUCACUACGGGAAAAGGAGCUUAACAACAGGAGCUUAACAACAUUUGUGAAGGUUAUACUAAGCGUGUAAGCCCAACGUGACAAACUAUGAUGGGAGCUAUAUAGACACUUUUUACUUUUUUAGACCUUUUUUUAGAAUAAUCUGUUGUAAUGAAAUGAUGUAAUGAGAUAGAAUAUAAUUUAGUUUGUAUCAAUUGAAAAGAUUAUUAUUCCCCAGAAUAUUCACCUAUUUAUUUUUAUUUUU